rnacentral:rRNA from 1 species
UCCGAAAGGAUAGCUAAUACCGCAUACGACCUGAGGGUGAAAGCGGGGGAUCGCAAGACCUCGCGCGAUAGGAGCGGCCGAUAUCGGAUUAGCUAGUUGGUGAGGUAAAGGCUCACCAAGGCGACGAUCCGUAGCUGGUCUGAGAGGACGACCAGCCCCACUGGAACUGAGACACGGCCCAGACUCCUACGGGAGGCAGCAGUGGGGAAUUUUGGACAAUGGGGGCAACCCUGAUCCAGCCAUUCCGCGUGAGUGAAGAAGGCCUUCGGGUUGUAAAGCUCUUUCGGCAGGAACGAAACGGUUAUCCCUAAUACGGACUACUAAUGACGGUCCCUGA